rnacentral:lncRNA from 1 species
CUACCAAAAAUUCAGAUACUUGCAACUCAAAGUUUUUAUGUACAUACAUUUCUAUGGUGGUAAAAUGACAACAGCCCAUUAGUUUAUUGUGUACAUGUAGAUAACAUUGCAUUUUGCCUUGGUGUCAUCUACGAUUACUCUACAAAAUACAUGAAACUAAAACAAGCUAGUGAAUUCUUUCUUAUCAUUCGGCCAAUAAGCCACCCUUACCACUGCCUCCAUCUUGUGCUAGAGAAUUUUCAUCCUCGAAACGUUCAAUUGCAUGUUAUCAUGUUUAUAGACAUAAAAGCAAAAGCAAAACACACAAAUUAACAAGUGGCAUCAAAUCAAGACAAGACACGUUUAUAUCUGUUAAAGAGAAGAAGAACAUGAAAGAACAAGAAUUUGUGGAGACAUAAGUUUAGGUAAAGUCAAAGAGGAACACUUUGAAACAUGACAUACCUUGCUAGGAGGAGCUAAUUAACGAUUUUCAGAUUAAAAGCUUUGGCCAGUUUUCGUUGAAACGCAAACAAAAAUUAUUCUGAAAUUCAAGGAGUUUAACACAAAUCAUAUAAAUAACUAGAAGAUAACAAGGUAUACAAAGUGUUUCAAAAAAAAAACAACAAGGUAUACAAAUAUUGAAUCUACCAAUAUUUUCACUGUCUGAAUAUGAAUUCGAGAUGUAAGCUUCUUGAUUAAAUUCACAGGAUUACAGCAUAAAGCUAAAUGCAGAGCAAUAACCUUUUAAAUCAACAUAGAUAUUAUCAGCUAAAUUAUCAAAGCUGAACAGAAAGUUGGAAACUUUGAUAUCUAUUAGCAUCUAUAGAUUAGGGGAAAACAACAGAACGACUUUUCUCGGGAAAAGUAACCCACCGAUGGAACAACACUGAGAUUUUCCUAUUGGACUACGUGCAUCGGAAAACAGAGAUACGGCGGCGGCUGCUUGAAUUACGAGCUAUGACGGUAUCCACCUUCUCGAUUUUGGCAUGAGCACAUCUCAUUUUCUUCCUUUUACUCCCCCUUCUGCAAAUCAAAUUAUUUCUCUCAUUUGUUACACUUUUUCCAUCAUCAAAAUACGAAAAUACUAGAGAGGAGAGAGGGGAGAGUUCAAAUUCUAGCAUUUAAUCAGACAGUAAUACGAGAGAGGAAAGAGUUCAAACGCUAUAGCAUUUAACUAGACAGGAGUAUUAGACCAACUCCAUCC